rnacentral:tRNA from 1 species
GCCGCUUUAGCUCAGUUGGUAGAGCACAUCAUUCGUAAUGAUGGGGUCAGGUGUUCGAGCCACCUAAGCGGCACCA